GUACUGAAGUGUGUGAGGCCGUCGCCAGUUAAGUGCUCCAGGCAGAGCUCAGACGACGCCGCUACGGGCUGCAGGGAUGUGGCCCCGUUCCGGCCGCUGGUGACGACCCGAACAUCAUGCUACUCACCUCCGACGUACUGGACGCUAGGAGGAGGAGGGACCCCAGCUGCUGCACAGAUGGAUUCGCCCGGAGCCCGGCUGUGCCGCAUCCCGACACUACAACUACUAUGGAGCAUCGCUCAAUACGCAUGUCGACCGGAG